AAGGAGAUGGAGGGAAGAGAGAGAGGGGAUGGGUAGCGCUGGGGAGAGGUAGAAUGGGUACAUUAUGUACCCUACUACAGUGGGGCAAAAAAUUGCAAAUGUAGUAUUUUGGAUUUAGACUAAAACAAGAUAAAGGAUUCUUAGGACAUUUUUAGCUCCCCGUGUCCGUCCGUAUUUGAUUCCAAAGGUGUUGCAGAUACCACUGUAAAUCUUUGCUGUUGUACUUUUGAAACAGUAGAUUUUUUUUGUGAAGGAUGCUCAAGUGAUUUGAAAUCACCAAAUCACAAAUGGAAAUAGAACCGGCUUUAACUACAAAUUCUGCAAAAGGAAAUACACCAUGGACAACAACAAAAAAUCAGUUUCUCCUCAUCGCUCAGCCACAUAAUGCCAGAGUAUAUGUGGUGAGCUUUCUGGAAUAAGGACAAGUGUAUAUCGUGGUAGAAAGGGCAAUAGAGGGUGAACUGAAUUUAUUUCUCUAUUACUUUGAGGUCACAAUAGUUAGUCUUCUUCCAUUUCACCAAGACUAAAGGCGGCCCGCACUAAAAAAGCCAGAUCUGUACAGACUUCAAGGAAACUUUGGUGACCUUAUUUGACAUUUUCUGCUGCUUUGUAGACACGGUUCGAUCCCACCUUGGGGCACUACUGUUGAAUCCAGAUGACAACCUGCACAUGCUCCGAGGGUUGCAGUUCUGCCGACUUCCUUUUGAUCACAAGUUUUAUUUGGAGAAAUAUCCAAUAAACCAAAGACAUUGCUUUAACUGUGAAUGUACUUUAUUGCAUGUUAUAUUAUUACAUUUUCCUCAAAUAAAAUGGAACAUACAUAACGUGUUUAUUUUAUUUAUUUACAUUGGGUCUGUGAGAGUCAUGUUUUGUAACUCAGACAAAAGCACACAAUUUCCCC